GAGCCUUUAGCUCAGUCUGGUUAGAGCACUGGACUUUUAAUCCAGGUGUCGGGGGUUCGAAUCCCCUAAGGCUCG
rnacentral:tRNA from 1 species